GUCAGUGGUUUAGGAAUAGGUUUGAGUUUAGUCUUUGGUUGCCUUCUUUUGGCACUUGUUGCAGAGCUCUACUAUUUGCUAUGGUGGAAGAAGAGAGUCACCAACGGAGAAGUUGAAGAUGAGGAUUAUAGCAGCAAGUAUGCAAAGGAAUUCUUUGACCUAAUCUGCUGGAAGAAACCCUCCUCUUUGCAAGUUAACAACACCAUUCAAGACAGAGUGAGAGACCCAGAAGCACAUGGCCAAGAACCAGACUUAGAAUUAGGCACAAGCAAGGAUUUGCUUCUAAAAGCUUUUGGUGAAGAAAGUGUAGAAUCAGAGCUCAUGAGGCUACACAAUCUCGCAGGCCCACCAAGAUUUCUCUUCACAAUCAACGAGGAAACAAAGGAGGAUUUGGAGUCUGAAGAUGGGAAAUCUAGGGGCGAUAGGAGGUCAAGAACAAGAAGUUUGAGUGAUCUUAUAGUGGCUGGUGGCACUCCCUUCCUUUNUUACCCCUUUAGCUUCUCCACGUUUAAAGUCUCCUCCUUUGGAUUCUUAUAAUCAACAUGGAUUCAAUCCUCUCUUUGAAUCAUCAACGGAUGCAGAGAUUAACAGGCUGAGAUCAUCACCACCGCCAAAAUUCAAGUUCUUGAGAGAAGCAGAGGAGAAAUUGUUCAGAAAAUUAAUGGAAGAAGCUGAGAAAAGGGCAGCUAAAAACUGUGCCUCUGUUCAAGAUUCUGGGAUUAAACCUCCUAAUUCAACAAUGAUAACAGAGGAGACAAAGGGUUCUUUCCUGGGCUUCAUUGUUAGUAAAAACAACAAGGAAAGAGAUAUUCUUAAUCAUCUUCCUCAAUAUCCUUCAAGCUCUUCUCAGGUACUCCCAUUGGCUUCUUCACCAACAGCAUUCAGACCAUUAGACAAGAAGCCCACUUCCCAUUAAUUUAAUUUGUUCUAAAUUAACAUGAAAUGAGUCUUAUUUAUGAUUUUUUUA
rnacentral:misc_RNA from 1 species